rnacentral:rRNA from 1 species
UACGUAGGGGUCGAGCGUUGUCCGGACUUACUGGGCGUAAAGCGUGGGUAGGUGGCUAGUGAUGUGCCGUGUGAAAGCGCCGCGCUUCUCGCGGCGAGGUCGCGGUAGACACACUAGCUAGAGGCACGGAGAGGGGCGUAGAAUUCCCGGUGUAGUGGUGAAAUGCGUAGAUAUCGGGAGGAAUACCAGUGGCGCAAGCGGCGCCCCUGGCCGUGACCUGACACUGAGCCACGACGGCGUGGGGGAGCAAACGGGG